rnacentral:snRNA from 1 species
GUGUCACUUCAGCGAGCACAUAUACUAAAAAUUGCAUGACACGGAGAAGAUGAGCAUGGUACCUGGGAAAGGAUGACAGCAAAUUCAUGAAGCAUUUUAGGCAACUAUUAUUU